AAGAGAUUUCGUGUCGAUUCCUGUUUAUCUUAGUGGCGGACGGGUGAGUAACGCGUGGGUAACCUGCCCUGUACAGGGGGAUAACACUUAGAAAUAGGUGCUAAAACCGCAUAAGCGCACAGUACCGCAUGGUACAGUGUGAAAAACUCCGGUGGUACAGGAUGGACCCGCGUCUGAUUAGCUGGUUGGAGGGGUAACGGCCCACCAAGGCGACGAUCAGUAGCCGGCCUGAGAGGGUGAACGGCCACAUUGGGACUGAGACACGGCCCAAACUCCUACGGGAGGCAGCAGUGGGGAAUAUUGCACAAUGGGGGAAACCCUGAUGCAGCGACGCCGCGUGAGUGAAGAAGUAUUUCGGUAUGUAAAGCUCUAUCAGCAGGGAAGAUAAUGACGGUACCUGAGUAAGAAGCCCCGGCUAACUACGUGCCAGCAGCCGCGGUAAUACGUAGGUGGCAAGCGUUAUCCGGAAUUAUUGGGC
rnacentral:rRNA from 1 species